GCCCCCCUACGGGGGGCAGCAGUGGGGAAUAUUGGGCAAUGGGCGCAAGCCUGACCCAGCAACGCCGCGUGAAGGAAGAAGGCUUUCGGGUUGUAAACUUCUUUUAUGAGGGACGAAACAAAUGACGGUACCUCAUGAAUAAGCCACGGCUAACUACGUGCCAGCAGCCGCGGUAAUACGUAGGUGGCAAGCGUUAUCCGGAUUUACUGGGUGUAAAGGGCGUGUAGGCGGGACUGAAAGUCCGCU
rnacentral:rRNA from 1 species